GGCCAUAGCUCAGUGGCAGAGCAUCUGCCUCUCUUGCAGAAGGUUCCAGGUUCAGUUUUGGUAGGGCUG